UACGAAGGGGGCUAGCGUUGCUCGGAAUUACUGGGCGUAAAGCGCACGUAGGCGGAUUGUUAAGUCGGGGGUGAAAUCCUGGAGCUCAACUCCAGAACUGCCUUCGAUACUGGCGAUCUCGAGUUCGGGAGAGGUGAGUGGAACUGCGAGUGUAGAGGUGGAAUUCGUAGAUAUUAGGAAGAACACCAGUGGCGAAGGCGGCUUACUGGUCCGG
rnacentral:rRNA from 1 species